UGGGGAAUAUUGCGCAAUGGGGGAAACCCUGACGCAGCAAUACCGCGUGAGUGAAGAAGGUUUUCGGAUCGUAAAGCUCUGUUAUUGGGGAAGAAAAAAAGACGGUACCCAAGAAGAAAGUCCCGGCUAACUACGUGCCAGCAGCCGCGGUAAUACGUAGGGGACAAGCGUUGUCCGGAUUUACUGGGCGUAAAGGGCCCGCAGGCGGUUUUUUAAGUCAGAUGUGAAAGGUAACGGCUCAACCGGUGACAUGCAUUUGAAACUGAAAGACUUGAGUAUUGGAGAGGCAAGUGGAAUUCCUAGUGUAGCGGUGAAAUGCGUAGAUAUUAGGAGGAACACCGGUGGCGAAGGCGGCUUGCUGGACAAAUACUGACGCUGAGGUACGAAAGCGUGGGGAGCAAACA
rnacentral:rRNA from 1 species